rnacentral:tRNA from 1 species
GCGGAGUAAAUGGCGGAGUGAUUCUCCCCGAUUUCGUAAGUCCUUGUUUUGUCAUCAGUUAUAUUUUUGCAGUCGCGGACUUCGAAUCCGAAGGUUGCAGGUUCGAGUCCUGCCGGGCGCG